rnacentral:lncRNA from 1 species
GAAUUGAUCAGAAUUAGAAAUCAAUAAUUCCAUGAAUUUCAUGUCUUCAGAAAGUUUCGAUGUAACUGGGUUGGAAGUUAUCCAAUUAUCUGUCGCGUUUUCCAUUUUCGUUUCCGUGCUACUUAAGUGUUUAACAGGCAAUAAGUAGGUGGCAGCGACUGAGGCAGACUCCAUCAUUGACUCUGCAGUAUCAUAAAAGAGCACAAUCGGGGUCCGAUCAUGGCGGCUGGCUAAAGGGUUGGCCGAGUGGAUAUUCCGAUCACACACGACGCAUAGUGCGGCACCGUCCGCCUUGCAACUGAAGCUGGCAGGGGCCUGCUUGCACACUUCACACGUCCACAGACGCUCAUGCUUUAAAGAUAUGUCUUCAUUAUGCACCUUAGCAUCACAAGUCAUGCACAUAAAGGCCGACUCUGUCACGCAAAAUAUCAACGCAGCUGCAGACUUGCAAUAGUCACAUGGCUUUGCCGCCGCAUUCCAUCCCGCUGGAAAACACUUUGCCCGGGCUGCGCCAGCACUAACAUCACCAUCUUGUAUCAUUCUCUAAAAACGUUGACUAGGCUUGUAGUGUAAUAGAGGAGUCUGUGCCAAUAAUAGUUUGUAUCUCACUAUCUAUCUCACCAAGUCAUAGAGAGAAAUAUGGUUGCUGGCAAGCCCAUAAGUGACACGUGGAGAGAGUUUAAGCCACAAAAAUGGUUUGAUAACAAGGAAAUGAUAUUUUUGUGUCAAGUCCCUGUCAUAUGUUAAUGUCUGUGCCGACUACGCCCAUUCCGCGGGGUUGAAGGGUAGGGGUAGCUUUAGGGUUUGGGUUCAAUGAAAUUAACACGCUUUCCAUUUUUAACAUAUGCACCUAGUUUACUUCAAUGUAGCAGCUACAGUAGCGACAUAAUAAUUGACAUAAUAUUUAAUGAAAUAUCCCUAAGUAUCCUGUCAUUGAAUAGUUUAAAGGAAAAUGUCAAACGAACAUAAUGUUUGACACAAAGGAUGACACCAUACUCACAGCUAAGGUGUGAGUCACGUGCGAAUAAAAUAAUAUCGACCUCCCAUGUGAGUGUAUUGUGUCAACCAAUGUGUCAAACUUUGUGGUAGUGUAGCAUGGUUGUAGUUUAAAAUACAUUCAGAAUUUUCAUCCAGUCAUCUGCUGUCACGUACACAUCUGUCAACCUCUUUAUCAUUUUUCUUCUAUUAAAAUAGAUUAAUCUAGUUUACAUUAGACAUUUCUGUAUGUUUAGGUUCAUUAAAGUUAUCCAAUUAUCUGUCGCGUUUUCCAUUUUCGUUUCCGUGCUACUUAAGUGUUUAACAGGCAAUAAGUAGGUGGCAGCGACUGAGGCAGACUCCAUCAUUGACUCUGCAGUAUCAUAAAAGGGCACAAUCGGGGUCCGAUCAUGGCGGCGGGCUAAAGGGUUGGCCGAGUGGAUAUUCCGAUCACACACGACACAUAGUGCGGCACCGUCCGCC